CAAUACAUGCAUCCAGUGCACACUGAGAAAUUUCCUGCCUCUGCCUCCACCCACACACACCAUCUAUUCCUACGUCACGUUGAGGCACCUGAGGUCUUCAGCUGCCUGAAGAGAAAGUAAAUAUUUCAUCUGCUUUAUGGAGCUGAAAGGAUGUUAGCAGUGGUCAAAACAAGCCAGUGAAGAAAUGAGGCUUCAGCUCAGCAGAUGACUGAGCGAAGGCAGCAGUAAAAGAUUUAUGUCUCAUUAUAAACCUGAAGCUCUCAGCAGAAGGUUUACUGUUUUUACAGGGGGGAUCAUAAUUGUAUCAGUCAUAUUGCAGUGAUCCAUCAUGGUGCACUACAAAGCCAAUGGCUACUUCAGACUAUUAAACAAUCCUCAAAAACUGAUAAUGGCCCGAAUCAAACCUGAGGGAGGUCUGAGACUCAGCUGUGUCUGAUAAGAUGUACGUAAUAAGUCUUAUAUAAAAUAAACAACACAACAAUUUUAGCGAAAAGUUUUCUUUAAUCUGAUUUCUUUGGUGAAGGGGGCAUCGUGUGUUGAGAAAUAAUUGGUGCUCAGGAUUAUAGGAACGUUGAGGAGAUCCCAGUCUCAGGUUUUAACAGCAGCAGCAGCAGCAGCAGAUGGCAUCAGUAAUUACUAUAGAUUUCUGAGAGUUUGGCUCCUGAGGUGUUUACUGUUUUUAGGAACACCGUCAGCAGUUGGCUCCAUCAACCAGGAAAACAUCUAAAUCCCUGGAAUGAAGCGCAGCUGUGAGAGACGUCACCGGUAAACGCUCGCAGUAGUUUGCAGCGAAUGGAGCCGAUUACUGUGUUAAAAAAACUUAAUGCACACACCACAAAAGCCUAAGCUGGCGGUUCAGGUGACUCAAGAGGCUAAUGGAGGUGCAGUGGGCAUCAGCUGCACACAGACAGGUAGAGAACAACAAGCAGGUGAAAACCAUUUCCUGCUGACUUACUACCAAGUCUGAUCUAUAAAGCUAUACAAAUAAAAAAAAGAGGAAAUCUUUCUUUGAUGCGUCUCAGUUAACAUUCUCCUAAUAGGCAUAUUUCUAAAGCUUCAGAAUGACUAGGUUUGCAAUUAUGGCUGAGGAACAAUGCGGUAGAAUAAAUAUCUGAGUUUUGAGCAUUUUCAGAAAAUGCUAUAAUUUUGACAUUUUCUUUCAGCUUCUGUACAGCAGUAGAGAUGCUUAUAGUGCUGAAACAGUGACCGCUGCCAGAAGCAAUAACAUAAUGGCCAGUUUUUCAGUAAUAAGGCAGCCGAAAAAACAAGAUGUUUUUUUUUCCUGAAAAAAAAAAAAAUCUGCCAAAAAAAAACCCAACUGUUAUCCAGCUGCUAUGACCAGAAUGGUGGAGCUCGAUUUGUAGGAAUGAAUAAAUACAUCCAGAUAAGAUCGAUCUGCAGUGCCUGAUUUAAUUAGUACUCAGAUAUAGGUUUAUAAAUUUUAACAAUACUCAUGUUUUAGCUACAAGUGCACUCACAUUUACAUGUAGCGUCUUCCAAAUGUAAAUUUAAAUUUGUUUUUAUGAGACAGAAGAAUUAGGUCUAGGAUCUGAAUAAAUAGUUUCCAGAUUUUAAUUUGAGAAAAAUACGACAGCCCAUGUGUAGCUUUCCUUCAGCUUCACAAUAAUGUACAACUUCUUGAUGGGAUUCUAUUUAAAUGGGCUAACAAAAAAAAAAAAAAAGACAUUCAGGUUAUCGCUUUAAAUGAGCACAAAACAGACCGUGUCAGAGUCACACACACCCAUUUUUCUCUUUUUAUUCAGUGAUAAAUAAUUUCCUAUCAACAUAGGCUUUAUGUGUAGACAUCCGAUCAAGGCAAGAGACAAAUUAGAGGGCACACACGUUGCCACCAUUAGAAAAUAAUAGCAGAAACAAAAAAAACAAAAAAAAAACAAUGAGGUAAGAAGUUUUCUCUUUUUUUUUUCUUUUUUUAUACAUUUGUGGUGCUUCUAUGUCUGUUACCUAUACUGUUGAACGCACAGUGCUUCCUAAUACAGAAAUCUUGCCUUUUUUGUGUCUGUACAUUAUUAAACAGAAACAGGUCAUGGCACAAUACUAGACCAACCAGAGGCAGAGUGUAUAGUUUAGUAGAACACAUCAUCAGACCGAGAGUCAGAGAAGCCGAGCAGGAAACAGAAAUAGAAAACAAAUACCUAAGACUUAGCAAACAGGGCGGCUGUGACUGCUUCAACACACACAAACACACAUGGUGAAUGAAAGAUCUGUGUCUCGGUAGCUUAUAUGAUGCCAGAUUUAGAGUGUUUAAACAUAAUGAAAGAGAAAUAAAUGACUUUUGUGAGGACGAAGCCAUCUACUGUGCAAACAGUGAUUUGAUGGGAGAUGAUCAGUGUCUGGAUGAGGAAGAAGCUUCAGUUUGAAACGUACAGAAAUCACUCCGACGUCUGAGAUGGAAACAUGGGCAAGCAUGUUCAGGCAAGACAGAGCAAAGGUUUGUAAGUGCAAUGAUUAACGAGCACAUGAGAAAAACAUUAGCAGGAUAAAAUUAAUGUAUUAAUCACUUGAAAAGUUGGCGGAUGCAGAAAUAUGCAUCUGCUGUCCUGUUAUUAGGGUUGUUUAUUACAGAAAAUAACUCGUAGUCUAGUUUGUUUUGAAAUUAUAACGAUCCAUCCUGAUUUAUCUUGAAGGUUGGAAACAGAAUAUGCUUUUUUUUACACUGAAAUGGGCAUUUUGGGUUUUUUACCCCCCUAAAAAUCUAUAUAUAUAUCUUUUUUUUUUUUUACAUUUAAAUAUGUCUGAGAAUCUAGUGCCAAAUAUUGUGUUGACAAUGUAAAUGAUGAUUAGCCCACAUUUUCUGUCUUUCUCUGUGACCUUUAACAUCUCAGUGGGUGCAUCAAUGGUAUUAAAAGUAUUCCCAGCAGCCCAACACAUUUUUAAUAAAUUAAUUUUUUUUUUGGUAAACAGAAACUUCAGACAAGGGUCUUUAAAUAGCUUUUCCUACCAAAUUCUGCAUACAGGCUGUCCUUUGUAACUACAACGAUGCACACAUUGCUACUGCAUUGGUGACUAAAGUUUAAUAUACUGUGCAAGGUAGCAAAUUUUCUUCUAAUUAAAUGGCAGACUUAGGCUUUAAGUUUUUUUAUUUUUUUAUUUGAUAUUUCAUGAACAUGUUUCUCUCCAAUAGAGAAUCUGUGGAGGAUGCUAAAGAUUAGGGUGAUGACAAUGAGGCCUUCUAAUGUCAAAAACUUGGAGCUCAUCACCAAAGGCCCAAAACAGGAAGUGAAAUCAAGCAACAAGGAGGAACAUAAAUCUAAAUCUGACGGGGGUAAAAAUGUAGUUGGCUGUAUAUAAUCUCCAAGAACCCAUCAGGAAAAUAUUGCUAGACUUCAAAGAAAACAGCCUAAAAGGUGUUGCAUCACACAGGCAGAAAACUGCGUCAACAAAUUCGUUCCUCCUCGUCUAAUUUCACUGUGAACUUAAUUGUAAAGAACGGAAAACCUCUUUGUUUUGCUUUUGGGACAGGCUAUUUUUAUAAAGCUCACAUUUUAAAAAGCUUUUAUUAUAUUCCAGGUGUAGAAAACAUCUUUUUACCUGUAUUUACCUAAGCAGAACAUGGAAAAAUAAUGCAAGUUAUAGUGGUUUGUUGUUUGAGUAAUUUUGUGACUAUUUGUAAUUGAUCAGGCCUACCACACGCUGAAUCCAUCUCAACAGAUAUCAGCCAUUUAUCUACUCUAGAUUAUUUAACCCAACGACUACUCAGAGUUGAACGUUGUUUUCAUAAAUAAAAGCCACAGGAGGUGAGAAAUUCUGUGUUUGCAUUAGUGUAAGGAUGCAGUACGACUUGAGUUCAACUGCAAUGGCUCUUACUGACACAGACAGUCCAAGUUGAGUAAAAUACUCAAAUGGAAGCCCAGCAUAAACUUAAGCUGAAGAAAGGUAGUGGAAGCAGAAAGUCCAACAAUAAAACUCAAUGGGAUGUUGUUGUUUUUUUUUUUUAAAAAAAAAGUUU